GUGCAUCUCAAACAUUAACAUAUAUACUAAGCACCUAGGGAUUGUGUUAAAAUGCAAAAUCUGGGUCAGUGGGUUUGGGCAGGUUCUUGAGAGCCUACAUUUAUAACAAACCACCAGAUAGUGUUAAUGGGACUGCUCCACACUGCCAGUAGCAAGGUUUUAGAGAUUGCUGGAGGCAUUGAGAACAUCAUACCUUACCAUCUUCCUUAUAUAUACAGAGCUCCCUUUCACAGUUUGCACAAAGGCCCACAACAUACUCAUGCUUAGAAAAUACACAGGGCACCCUAGAGGACCCUGCAUCCAUGACAAGAGAAAAGCAAGCUCAUGUAAGAAUAAGUUUCUAAAGUCCUCACCUGCUACUCAGGUACCUGCAAUCAUCAAUGGAGGCCCAUUAUCAGACCUCGAUAAAAUAAGCAGUCACAAGGUUGUUUAUCUAAACAAGACUGGGAGCUCUUCAAAAGUUGAGCCCUGAGUAGGUGAUUACUGCAGAAUGGUUAGGUCACUUGUUACUCUCCCCCAAGGGGUCAAUGAUAACUGUCCUGAGCCCACGACUAUAUUUGCCUGGUGUUUAACUAGAUCCAUCUGCAAUGUGUAACUGAGAAAAGGCACGAUGUAGUAAUGAAUUCAAGGUGUGCACUUUAUAUCAAAUUUCAUGUGUGUAGCAACAGGCCACUCCUUGCAGUGGUGUAGGAAGGGUCUUCCGUCAAAUUAUGCACGAUCUUCCAUGCUAGGAAUUACUCAGCCUCAGCUUGCCUACUUGAGAAUUAGUUUACUUCAAUCUAUUGACAACGUUAUGACAAUUGUGGCAUAGUAUGCUGGCUUACCUGAAAAACGGAGCAAUUUUAAAGUUUAAUAACAGUUGAAGACUAAGAACAGGAACAUUUAUAUAUAUAUAUAUAUUUUUUUUCAUAAAUGCAGUCAUGUAGACGUUUUCAUUUUUAAGUGUCCUGUUUGGGUCUCAAAUAAGAUUUGAAUAUUGAGAGGAAGGCUAGGCCAGGUUUAUUUUUUAUGAUUGUUUUUUAGUUUUUUUGAAUAGAAGGAGCACCUAUUCAAAGCCCUUGCCACUGGAGGGGGAAAAAAAAAGUUCAUGUGAUUUUGUGAUUUGACAGUGAUUCUAACACUAUUUUCUUCAAUAAUUGGAUAUAUUUUUGUACUAAAACCUCCAUUGUUUUCACCUUAUCAAGUACUAUAAUGGCAAACAAUUUACGUUCAGACUACCAAAAUGCCACUUUUUUAGCUUAAAAAGUAAAAAAAAAAAAAAAAAGUGCUAUAAACCAGGAACUCUUAAUAACAAUUCUUUGCUUCAAUCUGAUUACAUUCUUACUUUUCCUACCUCUUGCUACUGUUUCUAAUACUGGAGGAGGAUUUAUAUUUUUUUCUGAACAAUAGAUUUUAAUUAAGAAGAUUUAUUAAAGACAGUUUUCAUUCCUAUGAUUACAUUUCCAGUUCCAGAGACAUCUGCAUUUCAAAAUGCACCACAUAUUUUCAUAAAUAUUCCAUAAUUCCCUUAGAGCUUUUUGGUAUUCCAAUUUCCUCCAACCUCUUCUUAACAUCUUCACAUUCACUGUGUGUUCCAUCUAUUUGUACCCAGUCAGAAUUAGACAUUUCUGCAUACAGGUAUAAAAUAAGAUUGUAUUAGAAAGCAGAUUCAAAGCAUUGCUAUUCUUUGUGAAUCAAGACUUUUAAAAGGAACAAAGACAAAUUAAGUUCAGUAACAUAUGUCUAACAAAAGACUUAGAUAUCUUACAGACAAACCGAGAGUGGCAGGGUAAACAAGGAGGCAGAGUUUGCUUUGAAGUUUAAAUCAUUGUUAUUUUAAUAGAGUAGAAAAUUCAUUUAGAUAGUGGAAUCUGAUAGUUACCCAAUUAAAGCCCUUUUUGUCUACGUUAAUGUAGUUUUAUAUUUUUAGUUUUUGAAACUGGGUUUUGCUGAGAAUUAUUUGGAGAUAGAAGCAGCUUGAACUGCAUCUUUAGAUGGACAUCAUGAGUGACAGUAAAUUGUCGAUUAGACCUUUUGAAGCAUUUUGCAUAAAAUUGUAAGCUAAUGUAUUAAGCUUGAUCAAAGUGCAGAGAACAGAGAUACACUCAAGUUAUUUCAUAUAGUUCACCUACCAAAUGCAUAUGCCUAGACAUAUAGAGAGUAUGAAUUUUCUUUCAUAUUUUCAUGUUCUUGAAACAAAACUAGGUCUGAUCCCUAGUCUAUCCCACCAGGUGGUCAGGCAAUCCAUUUGAGAGGGUGGUCCUAUUUCAUGGAUUCUGCAAUCUUACCCAAAUAAGUUUCUGAGUCUUACUGAGAAAAUAUUUAUUCUUUCAUUCAUACUGGGUUAUUUGCUGAAGUUUUUCUUGCUUAAGUUCUAUUGGUCUCUUGAAAUCCAAGUCUGGCAGUAAUACCUUGCUGAGAGGAUGAGAAUAGGUGCUGAGUGGUAAAUACCCACCCUCAUCAUAGUUCAUGCUUUGUGCUGCCGUGUUCAGCAUGUCCUAGGUAUUACCUCAUUCAUUCCUAAAACAGCAGUGGGAGAGAGUUAUGUCUACAGGGAACUGAGCCUAGGGCUGGAGUUAUUGGCCUAAGGUCUCACAGUUUAUAAAUGGCAAGAGUGGAUUUGUCCAUUGGUGGCCUGGGUUAGCACAAGUCUGGCCCAGUCGUUUUGCUCUAGCUUCCUCAUCUUCCCCUGCCCUUUAAGAAGGUAUGACUCAAAUCUCUGAGGUUAGGGCUUGUAAACACCAAAGAAAAUCUUGUUUCUUUUUUCCUAAAUCUCUUAGGGCGUGUCUAUGGGCAGAAAAAAACUUCAAGAGGGUCUCCCAAGCUCAGUUUCAUGGAGAUCUAAUUCUAGAAGCAAGCUCUUCUGGAAUCGAAUGAAUCAAAGAGUCAUUGCAGAAUUAAUACCUGGACCCUCAGAAACUGUCUCAACAUCCUGAAGGUGCUACUCAAGACCCUGGGAUACAGCAGUGGGCAAGACACACUCUCCACCUUUCCUAGAGCUAUUUGUCUUCUACCGUGGACACAAGUCAUAGAGGAACCCUCUGCUAUGGGCCUGAUAUAUACACCCUGGGUCUCAGUGGAGUGUCACCUGUGGGUUGAGACACAGGGUGAAGCAAGGAAGGCUGGAGAACCCAGAGGGAAAACCAUCUGGCAUUACCAUCUGUACCUUCCAGGGGAUUCAAAGUAAUCUUUGACUGCUCCACUCAGACCAUUCUUUGCACCUGACAUUUGCAGAUAAAAGUUGAAAAAUAUUGUAAACUUGCACAACCUAUGAAAAGUCUGGGAAGAUUAAAAACAAGGUAUAUUGCAGGGAAAUAAAAGUUCCAAUUUAUAUUUCA